AUGUUGACUGCUUGCUGGGACCUAAGCUGGGCUCCCAGCUGGCGCACCAACUGGUCUUUGCAUGUGGGCUGGACUUCCUCACAGCAUGGCCUGCUUAGACAAUGUGGAUUUUUUUUUUUUUAUGGCAAUUCAUGGAGGAAGUGUUUUAUGCAACUUCAGCCUAAGCAGCAAGCUGCAUGGAAACAGCAUCAAUUUUCUGAAAGCUCCAACUGCCAGACACAUAAGGGACACCAUCAAGGACCAAUCCCAGCCAAACAGGAAGACUUCUCCCUUGUAACUUACUGCACUAAGCCCCUGGUUGUUUUACAUGAUCAGAUAAAAGAACUAGUCUUACUGGCUCCAGCAGGUCCCAUCUGCUUGUCACUGAUCAUGACCCGAAGUCGACGCUUGGAGGGGGAGCUGUGCACCGGCAGGACGAGAAGGUGAGGAUGAAGAAAAGAGCAAAUAUGCCAGUGAGGCACACACUCAGUGGGUGGCUCUGCUUCUUCCCUGCUCAGAAAUGGCAUCAAGACACCCCCAGCUGACUGGUGGUAGAGUCUUCCAGAACUUGGUUGGCCCCAUCUUUCCAUCGAUGUCUCUGUGAUUUGUAAUCAUGUGAUUCCUGUUCGUCUUGUAUGACUUCAGGCCUUUUUAUUUUUGGCGGUGACACUCAGCAUGUAGGAUCUUAGCUCCCCUGUACCUCCUGCAGUGGAAGCUCAGAGUCUUAACACUGCACCAGCAGGGAAGCCCACAGGCCAUAUUAAUUAGUCCACAAUGGAGUCACAGUAGCCAAGCUAAACCUCCAAGAUGGUUGUUUUGAAAUGUUCACUGUAGGACUAUGAGUGUCUUAGAAUGGUACGCUAACAGUGUUACUUUAUUUUUUAAUUUGUUUUAAAACUUUUUUUUUGUAUUGGGUUAUGCUCAGUCACUCAGUUGUGUCCGACUCUCAGUGACCCUAUGGACUGUAGCCUGCCAGGCUCGCCUGUCCAUGGGAUUCUCCAGGCAAGAAGACUGGAGUGGGUUGCCAUUUCCUUCUCCAUGUAUUGGGGUAUAGUCAAUUAACAAACAAUGUUGUGGUAGUUCAGGCAAACAGUGAAGGGACUCAGCCAUACAUAUAUGUGUAUCCAUUCUCCUCCACUCCCCUCCCAUUCAGGCUGUCAGAUAUCAUUGAGUAGAGUUCCAGGAGGUCCCUGUUGGUUAUCCAUUUUAACUAUAGCAUGUGUACAUGUCCAUCUCAAACUCCCUAACUAACCCUUCCCUCCAUCCUUCCCCCUGGCAACCAUAAGUUCAUUCUCUAACAGUGUUACUUUAGAUCAGAAAUGUGAUGGAUGGAAAUUCCCUGGCAGUCCAGCGGCUAGGACUCAGUGCUCUUGCUGCCAAGUGCCAGGGUUCAAUCCCUGGUUGAGGAACUAAGACCCCACAAACCCAGUAAGGUCCCAAUAAGAUCCUCCCCAAAACGAAAGAAAUUUGAUGAGCAACGUAUGUCAAAGGAGCAACCGAUAGACAAGACUCCGUCCCCUGGGGCAUAACCACUGCUUCUUAAAAAGAUAUCCCUGAGCCCAGUGACUUGAAGGCUCUUCUCUGGAGAACCCACUCCAAGCUGUUACAGGUGGAGCUGCUGGAGGCUCCCUAGGAGCAGAGAGUGAACCCGCUGAUGCCUGUCCUUGGGCCCGCAUCAAACCAGAGAGCCCUACUCUUGCUAAGACCUCCUUCUCAGACUUCUUGAAGCAGCUGGUUACCCCCUUUCCUGUUCUCCCUACUUGAACAGACCUGUGUUGUGUAAUAAAUGUAUGCAAUAAACUGAGUAAUUGGUAACCUGGAUAUUGGCCAUGUUUUAUGCGUCUCCAGUCCUGUGAUUCUUACCCAAGUGAUUGGUGAAUUAUCAGCCAUGUUUCAUGGGUCUCCAGUCCUGUGAUUCUCACCUGGUCUUACUGCUGGGCCUUGUGACCUACAAGCAUACCAAGACAAAGAAAGAAUUCCCAAAUCCCAUCUGCCUUCAACGUAAGAGCCCAUUUAGGAGCAAUUGUGUUUUGUCCCUUUGACUACAAACAGCAGGUGGUUAUCAAAGGGGCAAAAUAAUUUUCCUCACAAAGACAAGAGAUUACAGUGUAGGAAGCAGAUGGUUUUCCUGAAACUCGAAUCCGGCAGGGUAAGAAUUGCCCUUAGGUCACAUUAGCCCUAAAAGGAGGAAAACCGAGACAUUGCUUCAAGAUGCACAAUCAAUACAAGUAUUUUUCUUGGAAGAAAAGCUAUGACAAACCUAGGCAGUGUAUUAAAAAGCAGAGACAUCACUUUGCUGAUGAAGAUCCAUACAGUCAAAGCUGUGGUUUUUCCAGUAGUCGUGUAUGGAUGUGAGUUGGACAGCCUGAGUCCUAACAUGGCUCCCUAACCAGGACAAAAUAACACAGCCUAUGUGUCAGUUUCCUCAUGUAUGAAAUGAGGAGGAGCUGAGGAAUUAAUUCAUAUAAGAGGCUUAGAAAAGUGCCUGGAGAAGAGAGCGAUUAGUAAAUAUUAGUUUAACUGUUAUGUGAGAUAGGCUGGAUUGGCAAGGGUAAUGAAGAAAGCACUUUAUUUUUCUAACUGUCCUUACAGAGCCACCCCGGAGAUUCGUGCUUCGCUGCCCCCAUGCUUCCCUUCCCUCCAUCAGAUCUGAUGGAGAUUUGAUCUUACUUUACGAUAUUGUAUUGGUUUUGCCAUACGACAUGAGUCCGCCACAAGUGUACACUUUGUUCCAAGAUUGGAGAAGGAGCUGGGUUCAGGAAAAAGAGGAGUUCCAGCAGCCUGGACAUGAUUGCCAUCUAGUGAUUAUAUAGGAUAACAGCAUUUGCCCACAGACCUAAGGCUCAGUAUUCUUUGUUUUGCUCUUUUCUGGAGAAAUUCAAAAUAGUAGAAAUACACCACAUAAAAUAACAAAGAUGGGAAAGAUAGCCUACUCCAAAAACAGAAUUUCCAAAAAGGGCUGUGCUGUACAGCGUGCUCAGUUGUGUUUGACUCUUUGUGACCCUUUGGACGGUAGCCUUCCAGGCUUCUCUGUCCAUGGGAUUUUUCAGGCAAGCAUACUGGAGUGGGUUGCAUAUUUUCCUCCAGGGGAUCUUCCCGACCCAGUGGUGGAACCUGAGUAUCCUGUGUCUCCUGCAUUUCAGGCGGAUUCUUUACCAUUGAGCUAUUGGGGAGGCCCUCUAAAAAGGACUAGAACUGGGUAAUUCUAGGUAGCAUAAUUCUAAUCAUUGAGCUAUUGGGGAGGCCCUCUAAAAAGGGCUAGAACUGGGUAAUUAGGUAGCAUAAUUCUAAUGUCUCCCAGCCCCUCUAGAAAUAAGAAGUACUUAAUGUGUAAGUAGGUUUAUAGACUAAGGAAUGUUUUUAAACAAAAUCAUCACAAUUAACAAACAAUUCACCAACCCCAACUGCCAGAUCAGAAUUGCAAUAACUUUAUUGAGAGUGGGUAGUGAUAUCUUGUGUAAUAAAUACUGUGUUAAGAGUUCAUGCUUAUGUUCUGGCAUCCCCCAGUAUCUAUUUUCCACUUUUUAAGAAGUCUGUCCCUUAAUUCCUAGCUGUCACAUGGGAUAAAGAUCUAAUUUCUCAGCCUAUGACUCAGUUCUGCCCUUUUCCACAACUUGUUCUGACUAGCGGGAAUGUGAGUGUGAUGGCUGGGGUUCAAGGAAUCACUUUUGAACCAAGAGGCAGAAGAAUUUGUUGAAGUUGGCAGAACAAUCAAGAUAGAAGUUCCCUGAGUCUUUGAUACUUGAUGAGCUGCCAUGCCAACCCCAGAUUAUCUCCAGACCUACUUGAUAUGAAAGAAUAAAUUUAGAUUUUGUUUAAUAUGGCAGUUGAUACCUAGAAAUGACUUUUUGAAUGUCACAGAAAGUAAAUUAUUGUAACAGUCUAUUGGAAGUGGUAAAGAAAAGGGCAGUGAGGAUUCAAACUGAGAUCAUGGGGAUCUCUGUUUUGCAGCAGCAAGACAUUUAGUUAAAUCAUUACCCUCUGCACUCUGAAAGGCUGUGUGCUAUAGUGCUAAUUGAAGUUCUUCCAUUAAGAAUUCUCUGACAGAUCUUGGAAGACAGCUCAUGUCAGAAAUCAGCUGAAGGAAGUUGCCUUUCUACCCAAGUAUCUCUGCCUUCAGAGGUUACAAGGUAGCCCUCCAUUCACUAAGCCAUUUUGAACUGGUUUCAAAGUACAGAAACCAUUGUCAAAGACCAAGGUAAUGAGACUUUAAAUAUAAUGGAAUAUAAUGGCAAGUUGAUACUGAAAUUCAUGUGGAAAAAUAAAUGUGCAAGAGUGGGCAGAAAACACUGUAAAAGAAAAGCUAUAGGGGAGUGUCUACCACACCUUAAAACAUCCAAUACAGCUCAAAGCAGUGUGGCACUAAUGCAUUCCAAAGACAGACCAAUGGUAUAGGAUAGAAAGUCCAGAAACAGACCCAAAUGCAUAUGGAAAUUUACUAAAUGAUAGAGGUGGUAUCAAAAGUCACUGAAGCAAUGAUGACACUUUGCCUUGAUUGUCUUAAUCUGUAAAGCGGGCAUGAUUGAGUUAUUUAAUAGAAAGAGAACCAGAUGAGGGCCAUUGCAACUUCACCAACUAUGCUUCUGAGUCAGACCCAUUGAACCCUCUGAUCCUCCCUCUCAUCGACUGUGAAUAAUAAUCAUAUCCAUCACCAUCUGGCCCAGGGGAAUUGGUGGCAUCAAAACAGAAAACUUUUGUAAGAGGGAGAGUAGUUACAGAAAAGUAAGGAAAGCCGAAGAAGCUGAAGCUGAAUGGUUCUGUGAUGACCUACAAGACCUUCUAGAACUAACACCCAAAAAAUAUGUCCUUUUCAUCACAGGGUACUGAUGCAAAAGUAGGAAGUCAAAAGAUACCUGGAGUAACAGGCAAGUUUGGCCCUGGAGUGCAAAAUGAAGCAGGGAAAAGUCUAACAGAGUUGUGCCAAGAGAAUGCACUCAGCAUAGCAAACUCCCUCUUCCAACAACACAAGAGAUGACUCUACACAUGGACAUCACCAGAUGGUCAGCACUGAAAUCAGACUGAUUAUAUCCUUUGCAGCCAAAGAUGGAGAAGCUCUAUAGAGUCAGCAACUGGAUCAUGAACUCCUUAUUGCCAAAUUCAGACUUAAAUUGAAGAAAGUGGGGAAAACCACUAGACCAUUCAGAUAUGACCUAAAUCAACUCCCUUACAAUUAUACAGUGGAAAUGACAAAUAGAUUCAAGAGAUUAGAUCUGACAGAGUGCCUGAAGAACUACAGAGAGAGGCUUGUGACAUUGUACAGGAGGCAGUGAUCAAGACCAUCACUAAGAAAAAGAAAUGCAAAAAGGCAAAAUGGUUGUCUGAAGAGGGCUA
rnacentral:lncRNA from 1 species